rnacentral:rRNA from 1 species
CGCUAGCUACAGGCUUAACACAUGCAAGUCGAGGGGCAGCAUCAUUUUAGCUUGCUAAGAUGGAUGGCGACCGGCGCACGGGUGAGUAACGCGUAUCCAACCUUCCCAUGUCUGGGAAAUAACCUUGCGAAAGUAAGACUAAUGUCCCAUGACGUUGAAAGCGGACAUCUGAUUUCACCAAAGAUUCAUCGGACAUGGAUGGGGAUGCGUCUGAUUAGGUAGACGGCGGGGUAACGGCCCACCGUGCCUGCGAUCAGUAGGGGUUCUGAGAGGAAGGUCCCCCACAUUGGAACUGAGACACGGUCCAAACUCCUACGGGAGGCAGCAGUGAGGAAUAUUGGUCAAUGGGCGUAAGCCUGAACCAGCCAAGUAGCGUGCAGGACGACGGCCCUAUGGGUUGUAAACUGCUUUUAUAUGAGGAUAAAACGCGGGACGUGUCCCGCCUUGCAGGUAUCAUAUGAAUAAGGACCGGCUAAUUCCGUGCCAGCAGCCGCGGUAAUACGGAAGGUCCGGGCGUUAUCCGGAUUUAUUGGGUUUAAAGGGAGCGUAGGCCGGAUUUUAAGCGUGUUGUGAAAGUCAGCGGCUCAACCGUUGAAUUGCAGCGCGAACUGGAGUCCUUGAGUGCGCUGGAAGCAGGCGGAAUUCGUGGUGUAGCGGUGAAAUGCUUAGAUAUCACGAAGAACUCCGAUUGCGAAGGCAGCCUGCUGUCGCGUUACUGACGCUGAAGCUCGAAAGUGUGGGUAUCGAACAGGAUUAGAUACCCUGGUAGUCCACACGGUAAACGAUGGAUACUCGCCGUUCGCCCAAUUGAGGGUGGGUGGCCAAGUGAAAACGUUAAGUAUCCCACCUGGGGAGUACGCCGGCAACGGUGAAACUCAAAGGAAUUGACGGGGGCCCGCACAAGCGGAGGAACAUGUGGUUUAAUUCGAUGAUACGCGAGGAACCUUACCCGGGCUUGAACUGCCGGCGAACGAUACAGAGAUGUUGAGGCCCUUCGGGGCGCCGGCGGAGGUGCUGCAUGGUUGUCGUCAGCUCGCGCCGUGAGGUGUCGGCUUAAGUGCCAUAACGAGCGCAACCCCUGUCCUUAGUUGCCAUCAGGUUAAGCUGGGCACUCUGGGGAUACUGCCACCGCAAGGUGUGAGGAAGGUGGGGAUGACGUCAAAUCAGCACGGCCCUUACGUCCGGGGCUACACACGUGUUACAAUGGGGGGUACAGAGUGCUGCCCGCCGCCAACGUCGGCCUAAUCAACAAAGCCCUCCUCAGUUC